AGGCACAUCUAAAAGUUGCAGGACUGCGGCCCUCGAGGACUGGAGUUUGAGACCCCUGAUUGGUUGUAUUCAUGGCUGAAUGUUUAGUGCCAACCUGCUGAAAGGUAAACAGGCCUCUGACCAAAUCUCAAGUCUUUAGUUCCUCCCCUCCCUUUUCAAGAAAAGCAGCUGCCCAGCAUGAUACUGCACCACCAUGUUUCACUGGCCAAGUGCAAAGCUGCUUGGUAUUUCCCCUAACCCUCCCGGAGCCGAUCAUCCUCCAGUUCCAGAAAACCAAAAACUGAGAGAGCCACUCCACGCAGGUCCUGUUGAUCACAACCGAAUGGAUGUCCACUUUUCUCCACUUGAAGUAAAUAACCAGCUCCUUUGUUUCGAAGCAGAGCGCCUCCUCUGCAGCACUCAGAAAACCAUUUGGUAGUUUUUUUGUUUUGUCCCUGCAGCAUAAACCCAGCAUUCGGGUCAAAGAAAUAACCCAGCAGUUUUUAGAGUGUGCUGGAAAAUUAAUCUGCCACUCCUGUUGGCUUCAGUGUCUACAUGCCCAAGCUUGGGCUUAUCAUAUUUUUUUCUGUUUGUGUGGUUUCCAUUUUUAAAAAGAAAAGCAAAACCUGUUAAAUGAAAAUAUCACAAAAGAUUUGGGGUGACAGGCAAGCUGUAAAUGUAGAAAGUGUUGUUCUGCUGUCUGAAACUUAUUGUCUGUACGCUUUUCUCCACAUACAGAAAGCCAGUUUGUUUUGAAACAUUAAUAUUCGUGAUGUAAAAAGUUUGAAAUAAGAUGGCACUUCCUUCAUCACAGUAAUAAAAUAAGGGACCCUUA